rnacentral:rRNA from 1 species
AGAGUUUGAUCCUGGCUCAGAACGAACGCUGGCGGCAGGCCUAACACAUGCAAGUCGAACGCUCGUAGCAAUACGAGAGUGGCAGACGGGUGCGGAACACGUGGGAACAUACCCUUUGGUUUGGAAUAACUCAAGGAAACUUGAGCUAAUACCGGAUAAGCCCGUAAGGGGAAAGAUUUAUCGCCGAAGGAUUGGCCCGCGUCCGAUUAGCUAGUUGGUGAGGUAAUGGCUCACCAAGGCGACGAUCGGUAGCUGGUCUGAGAGGAUGAUCAGCCACAUUGGGACUGAGACACGGCCCAAACUCCUACGGGAGGCAGCAGUGGGGAAUAUUGGACAAUGGGCGCAAGCCUGAUCCAGCCAUGCCGCGUGAGUGAUGACGGCCCUAGGGUUGUAAAGCUCUUUCACCCACGACGAUAAUGACGGUAGUGGGAGAGGAAGCCCCGGCUAACUUCGUGCCAGCAGCCGCGGUAAUACGAAGGGGGCUAGCGUUGUUCGGAUUUACUGGGCGUAAAGCGCGCGUAGGCGGAUCUUUAAGUCAGGGGUGAAAUGCCGGAGCUCAACUUCGGAACUGCCUUUGAUACUGGAGAUCUUGAGUUCGGGAGAGGUGAGUGGAACUGCGAGUGUAGAGGUGAAAUUCGUAGAUAUUCGCAAGAACACCAGUGGCGAAGGCGGCUCACUGGCCCGAUACUGACGCUGAGGCGCGAAAGCGUGGGGAGCAAACAGGAUUAGAUACCCUGGUAGUCCACGCCGUAAACGAUGGAUGCUAGCCGUUAGGCAGCUUGCUGCUUAGUGGCGCAGCUAACGCUUUAAGCAUCCCGC